GACGAACGCUGGCGGCGUGCUUAACACAUGCAAGUCGAACGGAAAGGCCCUGCUUUUGUGGGGUGCUCGAGUGGCGAACGGGUGAGUAACACGUGAGUAACCUGCCCUUGACUUUGGGAUAACUUCAGGAAACUGGGGCUAAUACCGGAUAGGAGCUCCUGCUGCAUGGUGGGGGUUGGAAAGUUUCGGCGGUUGGGGAUGGACUCGCGGCUUAUCAGCUUGUUGGUGGGGUAGUGGCUUACCAAGGCUUUGACGGGUAGCCGGCCUGAGAGGGUGACCGGCCACAUUGGGACUGAGAUACGGCCCAGACUCCUACGGGAGGCAGCAGUGGGGAAUUUUGCACAAUGGGCGGAAGCCUGAUGCAGCAACGCCGCGUGCGGGAUGACGGCCUUCGGGUUGUAAACCGCUUUCGCCUGUGACGAAGCGUGAGUGACGGUAAUGGGUAAAGAAGCACCGGCUAACUACGUG
rnacentral:rRNA from 1 species